CAUUCCCUAUGAUUCCAGCCCUAAGGUCUGGACCCACUGGGACCUGACUGGCACAUACCCAGUGCUGAGCCAAUCAUUGUGGCCAGGGAGGAUGGCCAGAUUGAGGUCGUGUGACCACCCUCCCUAAGGAAACUCCUGAGCUGUUCAACCUGAUUUCCAGGGUGGGGGUGAACCUGAGAGAACAGAGGUUAGUGUCCAGUUGCUGCCCUCCUCUGUGCUUAAUAUCCUGGGUUGCACCUGCUCUUAUCCUCUUCCUGCCACCCCACUGUCUUCGUGGCAGCACUUCUUCCCUUCCCCCACUGCUUUCUUCCAUACCAUUUCACCCGUACCAAAAAGGAACACGACUUCCUGUUUGAAUUCAGGAUCCGGGGCUCAAGCCCAGCUUCAAGAUUUGUUUUUUUGCGUGCCGAUAUAAUCGUUUAUUCAGUCAACCAGUGUCCACUGAGUACCUACUAUGUGCUCCCGUGAGUUUUCAGGGUCUAAUUAUUCUGGGUUUCUGGGGGCAAAUCCCAGGAGCCUUCCAAGGAAAUUAAGUUUUGUCGAGCAAGAAUCUAGAGGCUAGCUUCCAGUCCCUCGGUGCCACCCACUGUGUGGCACUGAGGGAAGUCUUUCCCCUCUCUGGACUUGUGCUUUCUUAUCUGCAAAAUGAGGCACUGGGAAAGUUGAAAUCCUGGAGCCCUCUCAGCUCUGACAUCCUGUGUGGCUGGGUCUUGGAACAAGCCUCUCCAGCUGAGUCAGCCUGUAAGCAACAUGGACAGUGACCACAACACCCCCUCUACUGCCACGGGCAGCAUCGUGGUUGCUGUCCCUAUGGGUGCGCUGAUCUGAGUCCACAACCAUGCAGUUCUGUGUCUGAACCUUCCACUUCUUGGCUAAUGAGAACACCCAGGGUAGAGGAAACACCACGGCUUUCUGUGCCUGUGUGGACCCCAAGGCUCUAAAUUCCUGUAAGGUGGCCUAAUGCUGCUGCUACAGAAAUUCUCUUUUGAGGUGUUUGUGAAUCCCAAGCCCUCCCACCACUGAAAGUCAAGUCUGGAACUCUGAAAAGGAAGCAUAGGGAGGGAGGCCACAAGGAGGAGAGGAGAGGAUUCUAUAGAGGUUGCUAUGUGUCCAUGGAGCCCAUCCUUCCUCUGCCUCCCUGUCCCUCCCUUCUUCUUCUCUCACCCACUCCCCUUUCUCUGUUAUAGCCGAAAUUGGUCAUAGCCCCGUGGAAGAAGAAAGAUGCCUGAUGUGUCACUAGGGAGGCGAGGGAUCCUUUUGAGGCAUGCCCAGUGGGAGGACUUUCUUUUUCUUCUGGUUGAGUCUAGUUUCUCUUCACUCUUUGAACACUUGGAGACAUGAAUUAAUUCCCCUGGUCACUGGUCACUCAUUUGUCAGCUCACUCGGCUGCUCACCACAUCCGUGUCUUCCCAUCUUUAUUUAGCUCAGCCUUUUUUUUCAAGCAAGAAGGGAGAUUUCUUAGGAGAACAUAGAGAGCCCAAGGACAAGCAGAGAAUAGAGUAGCUUGUCCUCCCCAAAGAUGGGAGCCAGCAACUGUUUAAGACGUGAGAAGCCAAGCCUGCUGUAUCUUUUCGCCAUUCUGGGGUCACACAUUCACUCACCUCUGCUCCUCUUUGUACAUCACUAAACCCUUCCAUCUUUUCAAUCUCUUGGCUUCUCUCCAUUUCCACUGCCAUGACCCUAGUGUAAAGUACUAUUCUUUUUUUUGUGCCUGGGAAACUGAAGCAGCCUCCUGAAUUUUCUCCCGAAUCCCACCCCUGCCCAUUUCCAAUCUGUGUCUCUCACUACAGCCAGAGGGAUUUUUAGAAAUGAACAGUUUAUUCAACAGAUUUCACUGAUCCUAGGAAAGACGUCAAAAUCAUAAGCAAGGUGUGGAACUGGAUUACCACUCCCCCACAUUCCGUGCCCUGUAUUGAAGUGCCCUGCUCGGUUGGAGGAUUAUACGGCAUGGCCCAUGUUGUCCUCAGGCACGGCAGAGGGGCUGGUGAACAGUGAAAACAGAUGUGAGCACACGCAUUAAGAACCAGCUGAGCAUCCUGCUCCUCCUCUAACCACGGGGAACCUUCCCAGCUGGAGAGAGAGAGGGAAGGGGAAAAUUGCCCCCCCCCCACCCGACAGGAUGGCUUGCAGAAGACGCUAGUUGGCUGAGGACCGGUGCUGGGUCUGAUGGGCUACUACGAGACAGGAAGACCAGCAACCCCCUGUCUUGGUCCUUCCAGGAGAAGGCUGUGUGGUCACUGACCUCUGUCGCCCUCCCUUCCCUGACAGGAACAGACAAACUUCCCCCUCUGGCCUGAGACACAGUAACUCCAAGCCACCUGUAGAAGCCUGGACCCCACCACAGAACUCUGCAGGUAGCCCUUCCAGAAAGCGCAGGCUGCCCAGAAUUCUUACAGCAGCGACCAUGUUCUUUUUAAAACUGACAGAACUUCCCAAGUUCAGAAGCUCCUAGGGGAUUAGCUGGUCGCACAUCAAACCCAUCCGGAGAGCUUUUAAAAAUGAAGGUGCAUGCGAACAGACAUUUCACCAAAGAAGAUACGCGGCUGGCAGGUAAGCACAUGUAACAAUAAUGGUCAACAACAUGGGCCAUCAGUGAGAUGCACCCCAAAACCACAGUGAGCUCUCGCCCCAUAGCUAUUAGAGUGGCUGAUGUAAAAAAAAAAAAUAGUAGCAGCAUGAGACGCUGGCAGGGAUGCGGAGAAACCAGACCACUGCUGCCUCGCUGUUGGGAAGGUAAAACGGUCCAGCUGCUCCGGAAGACAUUUUGGCGGUUUCCUUUCAGAGUAAAUGCACGCUUCUCGUAUGACCUAGCUAUUGCACUCUUGGGCAUUUAUUCCAGAGAAAUGAAGACUUAUGGUCACACAACAUCCUGUAUCAGAAUGGUCAUCGUGGUUCUAUUCAGAACAGCCCCCAAACUGGAAGGUGCCCAGAUGCCCUUCAGGGGGCGAAUGGAUACUAAACUGGUGCAUCUGUGCCAUGGAGCACGUAUUCCGCAGCCGUCAAGAGGAAGGAAGUAAUGAUGAACUUCCAGGGACACUGAGUGAAAGUCUAUGAUUUCAUUUGUAUAACAUUCCUGAAAGGGCAAAAUGGUGGAGCCUGGGGACAGAUUGGUGGCUGUUGGCGGGGAGGGACUGCGGAGGACAGGUGGGCGUGGCUAUGGGGGGUAGCACCGAGAGCCUGGUGAUGGAACAGUUGUGUGAUUGAUCACGGCGGGCGGGGAACUACCGCAAGCGACCCGGGUGUAAAAUUACAUGGAGACCCACAUGCACGCACACGCAUGUGCUCGUCUGGUGAAGUCAGAAUAACCUCGGCGGAUUUACCUAUGUCAGUUUCCUGGUCUGGAUGGUGUCUGCAGUUGCACAAGGGGUUAUGGCUGGAGGAGGCUGGGGAUGGGGGUUCAUGGGACCUCCCAGGAUGUUGUAUUUUACAGCUAUGGUUUUUUCAAAGGAAAGAAUUAGAACAAAGCAAAGGUGCAGAAACACACCCCCAGAGGCUAUAUGACUUAAUUGGUCCGUCUUAGGGCCCAGGCAUCCGUACAUCAGUGUUUCUCAGAGGCCCCGUUCCUGCUGUACGGCCAGGAAUAGACACACUGACCACUUCCUCAUUCAGCAGAGGGAAACUGAGGCCAGAGAGGGGAAGGGGUUUUCCCAGGGCCACAGAGCUGCUGCAGGGUGACUGAAGGGGAUGGCAUCCAGCUGUAAGCGGCCCAAGGUUUUUCCUGCUGCUCCGGGCUGGGACUGAACCAGGCAGUUUGUUUUCACGUAAACUUUUAUUAAAAUACAGUGUACAGCUUAUUGCAUUGUCACAAACAGCACACUCAUGUAAUCAGCACCAAGGCCCCAAAACCAAGAUGACCCAGGCACCCUCUAGAACCCCACUCAUGAUCAAGCCCCCUGGGGCCCCCCUGGGGCCCUGCCAGUCUUGGCCCAUCCCCCAGGGGAGCCCUGCCCUGACUUCUUACAGCACACAGAGUAGUUUUUCCUGUUCCUGAACUUUGUGUAAAUAGUUGGGUGCUGUUUAGAAGCUGUGCCAAGGGAGACUGGAGCACCCAGUUUAUUCUGAAGGAAAAGGAAGUGGCCUCCCCAGGAGCCCCAUAAAGGAGGGCUGGGGGUGGGGGAUUCAGAGGAAGGACUGUCCCGGGGCGGUCUUCCUUGUCCAGGGUGGCCGGAAUGGGCUAUUUAUGCCCUGAGCUAGAACUGGAGACCAGAAGAGGAGCUGGAGCCCUGCCUGGCUGACUGAGAGCCUGUGUCCAUGAACCUGGUCCAGGGUCCCCCAAAGAUCCUGGGACCCCUGAGCAGGGGGAGGUACAGCAGCACCAGUCCUCAUGUAGGACUGGUGGCAUUGAAGAAACCACCUCUCAGUUUCCCUGCAUAUAAAAUGAGGAUUUUAUAUAUGUGAAUAACACAAAUAUCUACUAAUGCAGAAUCAAUGUUAAUGUAACACAUUAAUAUUUCACUUCUAUACUGUUGGUGUUAGGCAUUAAUAUAUUCUAUAUCGUAUGUUACAUAACAUAAGAUACAUUGAGUAAUAUGCAAAUCUUUUGAAUCCUAUCUAUACUAAUGAUAGCUGGCAUUUGUGGAAUGCUGAUUCUGUAUCUGGCAUUGUCUUAAGUGCUUUAAAUGUAUAAACCAACAGGGUGGCUGGGUGGCUCGGUCAGUUAAGCAUCCAGAUUCGGCUCAGGUCAUGAUCUCGCGGUUCAUAGGUUCAAGCCCUGCAUCGGGCUCUGUGCUGACCACCUCAUCUCGCAUCAUCCGUGUGAGGUGGAGCUCUUAUUAUCACCGGAGGAGGAGGUCGAGGCUUCGAGUUUCUGUCACCCCCAAGGUUGGACUGGGGUGUGAGCUCAGGUGGUUGGUUCCAAAGCCAGGUAUGCUCAGCCAGGCGGUCUCUCGUGUUCUCCGAGCACCCUCAACCUAGGCCUGUCCUGCGCGGGCCCGAACCUUUCCUGUUGACCGCUGGGCUGAGCAGCAGACAGUGGUGAGCGGAACGGGCCUCCAUCUGUGACUCCAAAGCUGCAUGGACCCAGCAGGGUGCGUGGCAGAGGCUGGUUCUCCUCUUAUAGCUAGUCCUCACUGGGCUGAUGGAGGGUCAGGGAGACAGCAGCAAGGGGACCGCCAAGGGGCUCAGUCCACCGAGGGGACCCCAGGGAUAGGCAGAAAGGGUGGGGAGGAGUGGAGAGCCCAAGCAGAGGUCACCACCCACCACAGGGUUUAGGGUUGGGCCACGGCAGGCCAGGUCAGCCCUGCAUGGCUAUUAGGGCCCCUCCGUCCAGUGGGGGCAGGUGGUGCUCAACAGACAGUCCCCAUCUUCACAUGCAUACUUCAGUGACAGUACUAUCUGAUUGGAAAAUCUCAUGUACCCUUCAACAUCUUGGACCCGUGUGUCACAACAUAGCAGAGUGUCACUGUACCUCCCUCCUGGGCUCUGGCGAAGACUGAAUGAGUUGAUCGCCAUAAAGUGCUAACAGCAAUGCCUCCCUUGUAGCACAUAGGAACUGCUCAAAAUAUACUCAUGGUCAUUGGGGGAGUGGGAGAGAGAAGGAAGGGAGGGAAGGAGAGAGAGGGGAAAGGAGGAAGGAAGGGAGACAGUAGUCUGCGUGGGGGGUCAGGGUAGGCAAAGAAGGCUACACCAAGGAGUUGACAUUUGAGCACAGUUUUGCAGGGUGAAUAGGAGUUUGCUGCGGGAUAAAGAGGCAGGGGAUGGAGUGGUGUUCCGGCUAUAGAGUGCCUCUGAGCUGCACUGGUAGCCUUUGUAAAUUCAUUGUGCCUCAUGAGGUUUAUGCAAGGGUUAGAUGAGAAAAGCACCUGGCACUAGGGGGCUCUCGUCCUGGUAUCUCCUCACUUGACUGGAGAGGCCAGUCACUGGGCGACAGAUGUUGAGGGCUGGGUCCCCUUGUCUGGACUAGGGGCUUCCCAAAGGCAGGAAUCGCUCGCCUCUGCCAGUGAGGGUUCUGGCACGGCAGGGAGGUGAGGCCUGCCUCGCCAGCCCCGCCCUCUCUCCCUCCCAAAAAAGCCAUAGGUCACUGGGGCAGGUGCAGGACAGCAAACAGUCUGGGAUAGUGACGGGGUGGCAUCCUGACACCGUUCUUUAUGUCCCCUUUUCUCGUUGGGCUCUGGCAAGGCGCUGUUGAGCCCUGGGGCAGCUCUGGCUCCGGGGGGAGGGAAGCUUGUCCUUGGCCUCUUCAGCCGGGGCUGGAGAAGGAGGGGGCGCCUGGGGCAGGGCUUGGUUCUGGGGAAGCUAAUCUGCUGAAUACGGGACCCAGAAAACCAGCGAUGCUUUCGUUGGACCGGAAGUGGGGAUGUGGAAGGGGCGGGGGGUCAGCCUCCAGCAGGGAGAGUUUCCAUGAAGGCUGUGUGGUAAGGACAAGUAGGUAAACCGAGGCCGAAGCUCAGAUGACCCGUGGUAAGCACCCAGCAUUGGCUCAGAAUGGCAAAGCCCAAGCGCCAAGCACAGGCCCACGGGAAGCAGGGGCCCUGGGCUUCUGAGACAUUGGGUGGGGGAGAGGUGUGCAGGGGACCCCAGUGGGGAGAGGUGGUGUCCCAUGAGGAAAGGCAGCCUGGCGUGGGAGGAGAGGUGGAGUCCAGGGACAGUGCCUCCACGGCUGUGUCGGCUGUCAUAGCAGCCGCUGCCUGGAAAGGCAGGGACAGGGCAGGGGGAGCCAGGCCACCGAGUAGUGACAGGCACACCCUAAGACCCCAAAGGCCUCAGACACUGGCCAUGCCACCGUGCGUAGCAAACAGAGGCUCCUGUUUCUUUCUCCACAGUCAUUUCACAUCCAUUAUUUCCCCCUGUGAGUGACUUACUGUUACUUACCAUCCUUUUACAAAUGUGGAAACUGAGGCACAGAGGGGCGAAGGGACUUGUACCAAAUCCAUGGUGAGUCAAGGGUGGAACGGGCCCUGACCUCAGGUUGGGCUGUCUUUGGGGCCAGAUCCAAAGCUGGACAUCAAGUCUCUUUGCCGGGCCUCGGGGCUCUGGGCAUGGAGAUCGUAGGCCUGGCCUGUGGUCUGCAAGGACUCGGCCGGGAGGCCUCUUUGGGGACAGAACACGGUGGUCCCAGGCCGGACAGACCUGAGUCCCAAUCCCAGCCCAGCCUCUCAGAGCUGUUAGACUCUGCGCAUGGUGCUAACCCCUCUGAACCUCAGUUUCCUCACCCACAAUGGGGGCUAAGAGGCUGCCUCGCAGGUUGCUGUGGGACCUCGGGCAGGGCCCCCUCCUCUCAUCUGACUGCACCCACCUGCCCUUAGUGGAGCCAAAAAUGUCCAGGACACACAAGGCCCUGCCUUUGGGGAGGGACACCCGAAAGGCAGUGAACAAGCACACAGAUAAACGGCUUAGCCCUUUUCACAUAGGGCUCUGAAAGAAAUAAAACUGAGUGAUGAGUGGAUACCAUAAGGCGCUGGGGCCGCUAUAGACACCAAGGAAAGGCCUCUCUGGCCAGUGAGUGAUGGGGACUGAGCAUCCUAAGUAAAGGGAACAAGUGCAAAGGCCCUGGGGCACGAACAUGUUGCAGGAACAAGCAAGGCAGCAGGUUGGUUGGAGGUGUGUCCACGUGGGCAAGGAGUGUAUUGUGGCCUUGGGGAGUGUUCACAGCAGGACCUGGGGUCAAAUCUGGCUCUGCUCGCCGGCUGAGAAUCCUGAACAAGCGACUUCUGUAAAAUGGGGUAGGAUGAGAUGAGGGUGCAGACGCAGGGGCCAGCUCCUGCGUGGCAAGGGUUUGUCAGUGGCGGGGGUGGGGGGGGGGCCCAUGAGCAGAGCUGCACACUAGCAGGCCAAGGCCCCAGUUGGGUCUCUGACUACAAAGAGCCUCGGCCUGGGAGACUCCCUGGGGGACCUCGGACCUUGGCUUCCCCAGCGAACAGAGAGCAGCUGGACUUGAUACUGCUAAAGAUGCUUUGUAACUGAGCUCUCUGAGCGGGGGUGUGGGAGAGAGACAGAGGGCGAGAAAGCACAUGGUUUCUUGCAUGUGGGCGCCAAACCCUUCCCGGGGCUGCUCACCCACCCCAGGACCUGUCCUGGGACCACCCAGUGUGGCCUGAGCCGGCACGGCCCCCGGGAGCAUUUGUUGUGUGUCGGGGGUCACCGGUAACCCUGUCUCACUUCUGUCACCCUCAGGAGUUCCCUGGAGACCAGAAGCAGCCUGUCCACUGACCACUACGGGUACCGUCGCUCCCUCCACUCUGGGCCCACUGUUCCCAUCGGCACCACGGGGGGGGGGCCCAGGAGGCAUCAAGGGAAAUUAGUCCCCCCAUUGGGCCCUCAAACUCCCCCAGGGACCAGCAGUACUGCUGACACAUCCCCUGAGGACUAGUCCAGCUAGGAAUGGUCCCUCAGGGUCUCCGCUAAGGGUUCCUCUGAGAACCAAGGCUGGUGGUCCCUCUGAGGGCCAGCCCACAGCCGCCCGUUCCCAUGACGCCCAGGCUGCAGCCCAGGGGCCAAGCUGACGCUUCCAGUUGGUUUCCCGAUCACGGUUCCUGGAAGCCGGGGUGUCUGAGGACCUCUGCCUUCACAUGGCUUUUGGAUCUUGUUGUUUCUACGAGAUGUCUUCAGAAGGAGGCAUUGUUUAAUGUUACAAGAAGGGGCCAGAGACUGAGGCACACAGGAAGGUCCCCUGGAUCAGAGGUCAGCCGAUCUCUGCUCACAGGCUGGGGCCACAAAAGACCAGGAAGGGGCAGCUAGCUGGCCCCGGCGCGGUGUUGGCAUGGGGAGCCACGUCCAGUGUAGCGGCGCGCAUCGGGGAGGGGCGGACUGGGCCACGCCGACUGGAAAUAGGCGCAUCCCUCUCCGUGGGUGGGAGAUGCGCCACUGCCAGGAAAGGGCAUAUACCCGGUGAGGAGCCACAGGGUUGGAUGUGGCCGGACGUGCCCAGCCGGGGAGGGUGAGGCAGAGGGCCCGGCGGAGCUGAGUCGCACCAAGGGGCCCGAACGGCUGAAAGCAGGCCCAGUGGUCGUGAGCCCCCUGCACUGGCGACACGACCGGGCCUGGGCCCCCUGUGCAGGGGGCGGGUCUAGUAGUUGCUCCCCUGGGACGAGACGGUCAUGGCCACCAGGUCUGAGACCCUAAAGCUGCCUGAGGCAGUGAGAAGGGCAGAGGGGUGCUUUCCUGAUCCAGUGUGGGGCUGGCAGCUGCUGGCACACUCCGAUAACCCUGUAGGGGGACGCUCCAUGGCCACAGCCACACGUGACGCUAACAGGCGUGUGUGGGUGCCGCGAAAGCUGACGGUGUCCUACUUCCUCACGAGCACUCGGAACGGGUUGGUGUUAGCCCGUUUCACAGAAGUCGCUGGUUCAGGAUUCUCAGCUGGCCAGCAGAGCUGGACUUAAACCAAGUUCCUGCUGUGAACGCUGCCCAAGGCCACAAUACACUCCUUGCCCCCGUGGACACACCUCAUACCCUCAGCUCUUGGCAGAGCGCUUUGCACAGUCUCACACGCACCGCGUGCAGAGCAUCGGCACCCUCCGUUCCUCACACAGGCAGACCCUCACUCCAUCCCUCCUGUGCGUGGGCUCACCCCCCCACACCCCUGGCCACGCUCUGCUUUCACAGGCUCACAGCUGGACGCACCUGCCUGGCCAGCCUGGGGUGCUGGGCACGUGUAUGGGUGUCUGUGGCAGAACGGGCUGAGCCCAGGGUGAGAGGCUCACGAAACUCCUGUAAAUCAGCUGAGCCACUGGCUUCUCUGAAAGCCACCAACAUGUCAGAUGGCCGUGUGGCUCCACCCGCUUUUUCUACCCCCGCCAGCCAGCUAGUCAGCACUCUGCUAGGGGCCGGGCCGGAGAAGGCUCUGGAACGAAGGGGGGCAGGGGGUGAGGCUUUUGUCCCAGAGUGUCUGGGGGUUGGGUGGGGACUGUCACGUGUCCCCCUUUCCCCUCAGGUUUAACCCAGACCCAGCUCUCGCCAGGCCUGGCAGGCGGCCGUGGUCAGGGAGCGGCCAUAGUAAUCACCCCCCUGAGGCUGGCCGCACUUGACCCAGUGCCUUCACAGUCCUAGAGGACCAAGCUAGGGGUCAGAGCAGACAGCAGGACCACCCUCAGCUCUGCCCUGUCCCCUCCUCCCCCCAGCCCUUAUUUCAGGUGUCAGGUGCUUGCUACACCAUGGUCAACAGUGCUGCCUUUGCUGGGCUCCUGUGUCAGGCAGGGGCUCAGGCAGCAAAGGAACAAAGGAAUCAGGUUUUAAUAUACUGUGUCGGGUGGCAAAUGCUAUGAAGGAAAAGAAAUCAGGGUGAAGGGGAUAGAGGGGAUCGGAGGGUGGCCAGGGAAGGUCUGUGAGGAAGUGCCGUUUAACCGGAGACCAGAAGGAACGUGGGGGUGAGUCCCAUGACUGGAGGAAGAGCAUCCAGGCGGUGGAGAUGGCCAGUGCAAAGGUCCUGAGGUGGAGCAUGCUUGGCCCAUUUGAGGAACAGAAAACAGGCAGGCGCUAAACAGGAUCCGCCCCCAUUCCUGUGAUCCUGCGGUCCCACGCGUCCUGACUUCUGACCCUCACAGCAGCCUCGGGACACAGGCAGAGCCAGGCUCGACGUUCGCAUUUCACAGAUGAGGAAAACUUGAGAUGCAGAGACCAGAGGAAUAGUGGUGCCAGAUCCAGGCCUGGGACCCAGGGCCCUCACCUACCCCUACCACCACCUGGCCUCUGUGCCCUUUUCGUGCAGCAGGGUCACCAGGUUUGCUGUGGGAGCCUCUGGGAAACCUGGCCCUCAGGCCCCAGUGGAGGGGAGGAGGUGCCAUUGGAGGUCCUGGAGGCCCCAUUCACGGCUUAGGAAUUCAGAAACAAAGGUCCCAGCCAGUAAUUGCCUCCUUUCAAAGGCACAGCCGGCUUCCUCUGCCACAGGCGUGAGAGGGAAGCUGAUGUCCUUGUCCGGGGGAGAGGGGUGGGGCAGCACUCCACGGGGCCUGUGCUACCUUGGCAAACAGGCCAACAGGCUCAUCACCCUUGGCAGAUGGCCACUGUCACCCUCCGUCCCCAUCUACCCCGCAGUUAGCAGCCCGGUUAUCCAGUGGCUCAUCUCUCCCCAGCCCCAGAACAGCGUGGGGCUUCCUGGGUCCAGCUUGGACCCAUCCUGUUGGUGCUGGGUGUGCCCUUUCCCUCACUGGGCCUCCCUCUCCUUGUUUACACAAGAGGAGGCUUGGACUGAGCCAUUUUAAAUGCCCUUCCAGUUCUGACUGUCCACGAUGGGACAUUUCUGAGAGAGCUACUCUCCGAAGCAGGGGAGGGAUCAUUCUCUGGUGUGGGGGCUCUCCUGAGCCCUGGGGGAUGUUCAGCAGCAUCGAAAUGCCACUAGAUGCCAGUAGCACACUCCUUCCCGGUUGUGGCCACCCCAGACUUCUCCAGACAUUGCCAAGUGUCCCCUGGUGGCGAGGGGGAUGGUGCCUUAACAGCUGCUGAGUGAGAAGCUCUGCUCAGCAUGUUUGCCAACAGCAGACAGAAAACUGCCCUCCUGAGCCCGUUGACCUUGUUCUUGGGCUUUGCCAGAGCACGGGGCUGGGGUCAGGCCCCUGAAGCCUGGCGGGCUUGCUCACGCCGACUCCCAUCUCAGGCCGAUGUCUCCUGGAUGUCACCCCUCACCCAUGGGCAUAUAGUCUUUUCUGAGCCUCAGCUUCCCCAUCUUCCAACAGGGGAGGGGUGUAAGGAUGCCGAGGGACCACCGCUUUGUAAAUGAUGUUGAGCAAACCGGGGACCUGAAGGAGCGGAGGUGUGAGCGUGCUGUGCUUUGUGGGUCCAGACCCUUCCAUUCUGCUACCCAAGACCCUUUGUUCCUUCAACUAAUGAUGACAGGGGGCCAGCGGUGGGCGAGGCGUGAGGCUGGCCCGUGAGAUGGGCUGUGAAAGGAGGGGCGUGGGCCCUGCCCGGGAUAUGCCCAGAAGAUGCUCGUGCUGCAGCCAUGGCAGAGAGGCAGAAAACGAGUGAAUAAACGGGAUCGUUUCAGAGGAUGGUGUGUCCAGGGGAGAGAAUGAGACAGGGUGUAGGGUGAAGGAGGCUCGGAUGGUCAGAGAAGGCUCUGAGGAGGUGUUGGAGGUGAUAUCUGUUGGAUGAUGAGUCUCUGCCCUGGGGGAGGGGGCACCCCCAGCAGAAAGCCCUGCACAGAAGACCUGAAGGGGGUGGUGGGUCAGGGGGUGCGAAGGGGGCCAGGUGUCUGGGAGUCGGGAGCCUCAGAGAGGUCAGGUGGUAUGGUCUGUCGGUCCAUCAGCAGGAGCCGGUCACCAGUCGGGAGUUUGGCCUUUAUUCUGAGAGCAGUGUGGGGCCACAUGAGGGUGUGGCCAAAUGACACGAAGGUCCCUGUGGCUGGUGUAUAGGGAAUGGUCCCUAGGGCGGUCAGAGCAGAAUCAGGACCCACGGGCAGGGAUGGAGAGAGAGGCCCGGCUGGUGGUUCUGCUCCAUUGCCUGUGACUGCCAGGUCCUGAGGCCACCGAGCCACCCACUCUGCCUGUCCCCACCCAUCCCCCCACCCCAUUCCUGCCCAACAGCCCCUGGCUGGCCUUGGCCCCUCAGCCCAGCCCGGCAGCUCUUCUCCCUCCCUCCCUCACUAGCUACAGGAGUUCCCCUCCUGGCAGCCAGUGAGCAGCUGUCAUGGAGGUUCCAUUUUAGAUUUUAUCAAUGUGUCCCUGUCGCCCGGGCAACCGCUCCUGGUGGCCCUGUCAGUCUUUCUCCGGCUGCCUUUCAGAGCCAAGCUGCUCCCACCCACACCAUGUGGCUAUGUGGUGAGUUCUCGCUCACUCGGGCCGGACCAAGAUUCCACCAAACGUUAUUGAUCUGGGUGUCAAGGUUUCACUGACCACCUCUGUUGGAAAUAACCAAAGGCCAGGUGUGCCAAAACCACAGCGUGAAGAAACUGACUUUGGAGAGAGCUCCCUAAGCCUUGGCCACAGUGAGUGGACUUAGCGGGCUGACAGCUUCAAGCAUGAAGCCCCGGGAACUGGACAGGCAGAACUUCUGGGGCCGCUCAGAGGGCACGGGGUGCCCCCACCGCACACCCAAGUCCCAGGCCUCAGCCCGUGGCUGGUGAGGUUCGGGCUGUUGAGGAGAAACUUGGCAGUGAGACCCUGGAUGCUCUGUGACUGGAGGGGACAGAGCAGGCUCUGAUGUCAAGCUGACCGGGAAUCUGAUCUGGCUGGUCCCUUUGAGAAUAAUUAUUACUAUUAUUCCUUACUUUCACUGAGCAUUUAUAGGUGCUAAAUGCUUUUCAUGCCCUGUCUCCAUUCGUCCUCCCAACAGCCUUAUGACAUAGAUAACUGUUAUUUUCCCCAUAUGUCUGAUAACAAGAGGCUACGUGCCCUACCUAAGGUGACAGAAUGUGGGCAGUCCAACCCAAACGAUGGACCCCACGAGGCUGCCCUGCCCCACUCACUCUCUGCGUUGUUUACAGCCUCCUGCCUCCUUGCAACUGUUCCACUAGUUGUGGCUGCCUAGCAAAUUACCCCAGAACGUAAGGACUUGAAACAGUGACCGUAUUUGUCCUUCCCGUGGGUCUGCUCUUUGGGUGGGCCCUGUUCUACGCCCAUCAGACGGUGUUUCUUGAAGACUGGAGGCGGGACUUCUCAGGAGCCCUGCCCACCCGCCCACUCACCCCGUCCCUCACCUGGCAGUUGCUGCUGGCUGUUGGCUGAAACACCCUUACGGGCCCCCGCGUGUGCCCUGGGCUCCUCACACCAUGGUGGCUACGCCCCCAGAGUUAGCUUUCCUAGAGAGAGCCACGUGGGAGAUGUGUCACCUUUCAUGACCUCAGAAGGCAUGCGGCAUCACUUCCGUUGCGGUCCGUUCCCUGGGGCAUCACAGAGUCUUUCCCACAGCCAAGGGGGGUGCGACUUACACCCCAUAUCUUGACCAGGAGUUGCAAGGUCUGGCCCAGCUAUGGGGCCAUCCUGGGAGGUAGUGUCCGCCCCGGUGACUGUCCAAGAUACUUCUUUCCUGAGCCGAAACGGGCUUAGACAGAACACCUGGGAUGCAGUUGGCACUUGACACAUCACAGAUCUUGUUUUCAGUAAUGAAGUAAGUUUGAAGAAUGUGUCGUUAUUAUUCGAGAGGGGGAGUGAUCACGUCAGCUGGGAAAAGCUGGGAAGGUUCUUGUGCAGCUGAGACAGGUCUUGGGGGACAAGGAGGAUUUUCCCAUUGCCACGAGGUGGUCAGUGCCCGCGGCAGACAGGUGUGGAAAGGAUGUGAGCGAGGUGGUGCAUAAGCAUUGGAUCCGCUGGUCUCCGGUGGCGAGCCACAGAAAUCGCCCGUGGCCAACCUGUGGGAGCGAAAGGGAACCUUGGUGCCGCUCCUGGGGGGGUUGAGAGGAUCAGAGGAAGCUGGGGGAGUGGGCUGGGCCCCCGAGCAGGACCGCUCUGCCCCCUGGAGAGCCGCCCAGCUGUGAAGAAGGCUGCCUGCAUCCAUGGAGCCCACAGCCCUGUGUCUCCACUCAGGAAGUAAAGUCUGGGGCACAAGUCUGACGGGUCCAGCGCGGGCCAUUUCCUGCCCCUCACUGUGCUGAGGCGGGGGGGAGUAUCUGUAGGAAGGAGCCUCCAGGGACCCCUUGGCCCCAACCCCCACCAGCACUACACUCUGUGUGGGAGAGGCCUGGCCCUGGGCUAUAUGGGAGAGCUGUUAGGAAGGAGUCGUGGGGUGCGAAAUGGCCCGUAUUCCCCGUGAGCGUGGCCUCCCCGUUCAGGCACUGCUGGACCAGAGCGAGGCAUGGUGACAUAUACACCAGAGGCUCAGUGUCACCAAAAUGUCAGGGGCCUGGAGAAGCUGGGCUUCAGCGGAAUAGUCAGGGAAGGCUUGAGGAUCCGGGAGCCAGAGCUGAACCUAGCUCAAGUUCAGAGAGAAUGCGAUGAGGCCGCCUGCCUCCAUCCACCUGUCCUCACCAGGUGCAUCUAGAGGGCGCUGGAAGCAGGCUUCAGGGCUCCAGUCUUUCAUGCUUGAGGUCUCCUGGCAGCCUUGUGUCUUAGUAAGAUCCCUCUGGUGGCCAGAGGGCGGGGGAGAAAAUACUGGCUCUCCCCAACAACCACUUUUGUCUCGGCAAUUGCUGGACUUUGCACGUGAGAUUAUCCAGACUGAGUGAUUGUCUGCACCUCAGCCCUGUCUUGGCAGCCAUUGGAUGGAUGGGUCAGCCUGCCUGGGGAAGGGCAUGCCAACAUGAGGGGCCCCAGAUGCCCAGGCAACUCACAGGUGGAAAGAGCUGGGCCCCAAAGCUUAUAAGCUGGGUCCCUUCUCCAGUCAGGGCCUGUUAUGGGGUCAGUUGUGCCCCCCACCCCGAGUUUAUAUGUUGAAGUCCUAACCCCAGUAACUCAGAAUGGGACUGCAUUGGAGAUACAGUCUUUAAAAGGGCCAUUAAGUUAAAAUGAAAUCAUUAAGAUGGCCCUCAUCCAAUAUUACUUGUGUCCUUUUAAGAAGAUAUUAGGGCAGGGGUGCCUGGCUGGCUCAUUUGGAGGAGGGUGCAACUCUUAAUCUCAGGGUAGUGAGUUUGAGCCCCAUGUGUAGAGAUUA